rnacentral:rRNA from 1 species
UUGGGUUAAGUCCCGCAACGAGCGCAACCCUUGAUCUUAGUUGCCAGCAUUAAGUUGGGCACUCUAAGGUGACUGCCGGUGACAAACCGGAGGAAGGUGGGGAUGACGUCAAAUCAUCAUGCCCCUUAUGACCUGGGCUACACACGUGCUACAAUGGAUGGUACAAAGGGCAGCGAAACCGCGAGGUGAAGCCAAUCCCAUAAAGCCAUUCUCAGUUCGGAUUGCAGGCUGCAACUCGCCUGCAUGAAGCCGGAAUUGCUAGUAAUCGCGGAUCAGCAUGCCGCGGUGAAUACGUUCCCGGGUCUUGUACACACCGCCCGU